CCUAAGAGCAGUUUUAUCAAAUUGGUGAAUACCAACGAUACUCUCUCGAAUAUCAUCAGUACUCAUCAGGUACCACAAACAAUGAUCAAGAUUACAUAACAAGAACUUGUAAUCAGUAUAUGUAUUAACAAAAACAGGAUGAAGACAUACAGUGAUAUACUCAUCAAGCUCCAAAAUAUUUGAUUCACAUCUUACAACCUACAAUUUCGACUCGUCGGUUUACGUUUUCUCUGUAAUACAGAAUGGCCUAAUGAAACCACUGCAGAGUCAUAGAGGAGGACUACCAAUAGGACCCUCUUGAAGGAUUUGUUCUUCAAUGAUAGUUGAAAACAGGAGCUUGAAAACUUAGACAACAUCAACCUUUGCAACUAGCUUAAUCAAAUGCAAUAUGCAAUACAUGGUAUUAACUACAGUGGCUGGCAAGUGAAAGCUGUUGAGAUGAUGUCUAUCUGUAUGCACUUUAAACUGUGACAAAAUGUGGAUCUAGUCACAGGGGUCACUGCUAACAGACCAGGUCACCCGGAGGUGGCAUUAAAAUUGCUAGUUGCUGCAUAAACAAUUAUUGAAAAGCUACUAAAAGAAGAAAAAGGGUUAAAUAAGGCACAAAUCAAGAGAGGUAGCAGUGGACCGACAAUGUAGAGCAGUCAACAGGUGCUAGCCAUGACAAGAGUGCCUAGCAAGUACUAGUCGGGAGAAAACCAGCCUCACUGGAUAAGAUUAACUUGAGUAGAGUCAUAGGGGCUUCUGUCAACAUGCUUCUGGUGAUGGAACCUCCAUUCUCAAGAUAAAAUUGUUAAUUAUCAGUAAUAUCAUCAAGAUAAUUGAUCAGAGAGUUCUGGUAAGGACAAAUGACCCAGUCAACAAAGAAACAAGCUCGGAGUGCUAAAGACAAACCUCGCUGUCAGUUCCUGCAUUUACCUGUGCUUGUACAUCAGAACUCCCAGACAAAGUGGGUCACAGCAGUCCCUGUACAUAAAGCACCAGUUAUCCUAAUUAAAUCUGAUGAUUAUGAAACACCAGCAAUGAACAUAAAAAAAAAACUAACAUCAAGUACAUGGACUCACUUUGCC